rnacentral:rRNA from 1 species
GAUGAACGCUGGCGGCGUGCCUAAUACAUGCAAGUCGAGCGAACGGACGAGAAGCUUGCUUCCGGGAUGUUAGCGGCGGACGGGGGAGUAACACGUGGAUAACCUCCCUAUAAGACUGGGAUAACUUCGGGAAACCGGAUCUAAGACCGGAAAAUAUUUUCAACCGCAUGGUUCACAAGUGAAAGACGGUCUUGCUGUCACUUAUAGAUGCAACCGCGCUGCAUUAGCUAGUUGUUAAGGUAACGGCUUACAAAGGCAACGAUGCAUAGCCGACCUGAGAGGGUCAUCGGCCACACUGGCACUGAGACACGGUCCCGACUCCGACGGGAGGAAGCAGUCGGGACUCUUCCGCGAUGGGCCAAAGCCUGACGGAGCAACGCCGCCUGAGUGAUGAACGUCUUCGGAUGCUAAAGCUAUGUUAUUAGGGAAGAUCAUAUGUGUAAGUAACUGUGCACAUCUUGACGGUACCUAAUCAGAAAGCCACGGCUAACUACGUG